rnacentral:rRNA from 1 species
CACGGAGUUAGCCGGAGCUUAUUCUCCCGGUACUGUCAUUAUCAUCCCGGGUAAAAGAGCUUUACAACCCUAGGGCCUUCAUCACUCACGCGGCAUUGCUGGAUCAGGCUUUCGCCCAUUGUCCAAUAUUCCCCA